GACGGACGCUGGCGGCGUGCUUAACACAUGCAAGUCGUACGGUAAGGCCCUUUCGGGGGUACACGAGUGGCGAACGGGUGAGUAACACGUGAGUAACCUGCCCACAACUUUGGGAUAACGCUAGGAAACUGGUGCUAAUACUGGAUAUGUGCUCCUGCUGCAUGGUGGGGGUUGGAAAGCUCCGGCGGUUGUGGAUGGACUCGCGGCCUAUCAGCUUGUUGGUGGGGUAGUGGCCUACCAAGGCGGCGACGGGUAGCCGGCCUGAGAGGGUGACCGGCCACAUUGGGACUGAGAUACGGCCCAGACUCCUACGGGAGGCAGCAGUGGGGAAUAUUGCACAAUGGGCGCAAGCCUGAUGCAGCAACGCCGCGUGCGGGAUGACGGCCUUCGGGUUGUAAACCGCUUCCAGCAGGGACGAAGCUUUUUGUGACGGUACCUGCAGAAGAAGCACCGGCUAACUACGUG
rnacentral:rRNA from 1 species